rnacentral:rRNA from 1 species
GACGAACCGUGCGAACGUUGUUCGGAAUCACUGGGCUUAAAGGGCGCGUAGGCGGUCGAUAACGUCCGGGGUGAAAUCUUUCGGCUUAACCGGAAAAGUGCCUCGGAUACGGGUCGGCUGGAGGGAGGUAGGGGCAGGUGGAACUUCCAGUGGAGCGGUGAAAUGCGUUGAUAUUGGAAGGAACGCCGGUGGCGAAAGCGACCUGCUGGACCUCUUCUGACGCUGAGGCGCGAAAGCCAGGGGAGCAAACAGG